rnacentral:rRNA from 1 species
CGACUCUCGGCAACGGAUAUCUCGGCUCUUGCAUCGAUGAAGAACGUAGCGAAAUGCGAUACUUGGUGUGAAUUGCAGAAUCCCGCGAACCAUCAAUUCUUUGAACGCAAGUUGCGCCCGAAGCCACUCGGCCGAGGGCACGCCUGCCUGGGUGUCGUGA